GACGAACGCUGGCGGCGUGCCUAAUACAUGCAAGUUGAGCGAUGAAGAUUGGUGCUUGCACCAAUUUGAAGAGCAGCGAACGGGUGAGUAACGCGUGGGGAAUCUGCCUUUGAGCGGGGGACAACAUUUGGAAACGAAUGCUAAUACCGCAUAACAACUUUAAACAUAAGUUUUAAGUUUGAAAGAUGCAAUUGCAUCACUCAAAGAUGAUCCCGCGUUGUAUUAGCUAGUUGGUGAGGUAAAGGCUUACCAAGGCGAUGAUACAUAGCCGACCUGAGAGGGUGAUCGGCCACAUUGGGACUGAGACACGGCCCAAAAUCCUACGGGAGGCAGCAGUAGGGAAUCUUCGGCAAUGGACGAAAGUCUGACCGAGCAACGCCGCGUGAGUGAAGAAGGUUUUCGGAUCGUAAAACUCUGUUGGUAGAGAAGAACGUUGGUGAGAGUGGAAAGCUCAUCAAGUGACGGUAACUACCCAGAAAGGGACGGCUAACUACGUG
rnacentral:rRNA from 1 species